CAGUAGCGUAUAUUAAAGUUGUUGCAGUUAAAAAGCUCGUAGUUGGAUUUCUGGUUUAGUCACCUGAUCGGCCGGCGUCAGUCGCGCUAGUAUUGGGAUUCUGACUUUGCCAUCCGCCCAAAUUUUCGUCCCGGGUACCCUUCAUUGGGCCGCUCGGUGUACGGUUGGGCCAUUUACUUUGAAAAAAUUAGAGUGUUUAAAGCAGGCAAUUGCUGUGAAUACAUUAGCAUGGAAUAAUAACAUAGGACUUUUGUUCUAUCUUGUUGGUUCUAGAACGGAAGUAAUGAUUGAUAGGGACAGUUGGGGGUGCUAGUAUUCCGCGGCCAGAGGUGAAAUUCUUGGAUUCGCGGAAGACUAACUUAUGCGAAAGCAUUCACCAAGGAUGUCUUCUUUAA
rnacentral:rRNA from 1 species